UCAUGACUUCACAGGAGAGCCGUCUGAACAUUAAAAAAAGGUUUUUAAUCUAAAUUAGUUUUUGGGCAGAAAUGCCUUCUUAAACAUGUGAACUUUCAUGUGCCUUAAUAACAAACCUUUAUGCCAUUUGUAAAUAGAAAUAAAGUUGUUAAAUUACGAGCCUAGUUGGUUUAGCCAAAGAAAAGUCAGGAACCUUCCCGCUAGCCGAGAUUGGCUGAGAUAGUGAGCGGGGUUUCAGAUUGGUCUGCGGUGUAGCAUCUUGUCUAUAAAAUCAGCUGCUUGUUAUGCAUAGAUAAUCCUUUCAACUGUAGUUUUUUCAAAAGAUAUAACUUUAGCCAUGGAGAACUGCAAAUAUGUUGCUACUGCUCUCAAUAACAUUGCUGCCCUGAAGACAUUGUAGAGUCUUCGGAUGAGUGUUGGGGAAGAAACGGCGAUCAACAGUGUUGUCACGGAAGAACUUGACUGAGUUUUGAAAUCGGUGGAACACAACGGCCAAACAAGCUGUGCAAAACGACACAGGACGUCUUCUUUAAUAAAAGGGAUUGCAGUCUGCCGUGAUGCUUUCAUCCAUGUAUACGGUAGAACACGCCUGACUCUCCUCAACCAGUCAUACAAGGACAAUGGUCUCAUGCCUCCCAUCAAAAAGAGAGGUGGCCCAAGCAUGCAAACGCAGCAGUGCAGUCAUCAACUUCAUGCACCAUUUCUUCAGCAACUACGGAGUUGGGGAAACACGUGGGGACCUUAAUUGUGAUAACUGCAGUGGCCAAAACAAGGACAAGUUUGUGCUCUGGUAUUGUGCCUGGCGGACCAUGCACAAGCUCCACCACAGUCUGGACCUUCACUUCCUGAUCACAGGCCACACCAGACUGGUGCUUCGGCCUCAUCAAGCAGCUCUUCAGAAAGACCAGAGUGAAUACUUUGUCUGAGAUGGCUGGUAUUGUGAAGGACAGCACAGAGACGGGGGUCAACAUCCCAAAGCUGGUUGGACUGGAGGAUGGUACGGUGCUGGUGGGAAGCUAUGGCUGGCAACCACACCUGACUCCGUAAAGAUCAAGCAGUACCAGCACUUCAGCUUCGGUGCUUUGAAAAGCCUGGUGUUGUCGCCAAGGAGCGUUUGGACUGUCGCGCAGCAGCUGAAACCUGGUCCCAACGCUGACAUCCUUCCUCCCAUAGAUGUUCUGCCUGUACAUGCACCACCUGGACUGGACACAGAUAGACAAACGUAACUUUUUGAGAAGAUCAGGGAGUUUUUCAUUGAAGAUGCUAUGGACAUCACAUGCCCUGCACCAAAGUCAACGGCAGGACAGAAACGGGCUCUCUCCUAACACACAUGGCAUGCGUUGCGGCUACUAUUAAUUAUCCUGCUGCUCAGCCAGUUUACCCCGAUUGUAUACAUAUAACUACCUCGUCUAUCACUGAUAUCGUUAUUGAUAUUCUUCUUGAAAAUACUGGAAAUUAUUUUAUUUAUAUUGACACUAUCUAUUUCUGAUAUUGCUACUAUGCAAGUAACCAUUUGGCUGUACCAUUUACACCUUAUGUAGAGACCCAUCCACUUAGCAAGACUUAGCAAAAUAAUGAUAUAUAAAACCGUAGUCUGGCUUUUUUUAUGGCGGUUUUGGAGCAGUGGCUUCUUCCUUGCUGAGCGGCCUUUCAUGUUAUGUUGA